rnacentral:rRNA from 1 species
AUUGAACGCUGGCGGCAUGCUUUACACAUGCAAGUCGGACGAGUGGGGAACGGGAGGGUAAUAUAUUGGAACGGACCGAGUAAUGGGGGAUAACCAAUCGAAAGAUUGGCCAAUACCGCCUAUAAUUCGAGCGGCCAAUAUCUGAUUAGCUAGUUGGUGGGGCAAAGGCCUACCAAGGCGACGAACAGUAGCGGGUCUGAGAGGAUGAUCCGCAACACUGGGACUGAGACACGGCCCAGACUCCUACGGGAGGCAGCAGUGGGGAAUAUUGGACAAUGGGCGCAAGCCUGAUCCAGCCAUGCCGCGUGUCUGAAGAAGGCCUUCGGGUUGUAAAGGACUUUUGUUAGGGAGGCGUUACCUAAAGAAUAAGCACCGGCUAACUUCGUGCCAGCAGCCGCGGUAAUAC